ensembl:lncRNA
GCACUGUAGAAGCAGGAAGAAGUGCUGUAACAUUUUAAAUACAUUGCAUGCCUGUCCUCUUUGAGAUACAACCAUUAGAAUGGAGGCUGAAACGACAAAGUUGCUUAAUAACGGCUCACGCUGCAUAUUUUUCAAUACAGAUUCAGACGACUAUCGAUGUGUGGUGAUUUUAACGGUGAAGCGAGCAACGGGCACCUUCUCAUUAGUUGGAUGCUUUUUCAUGCUGUUUGUCAUCUGGUUGCUGCGCAGGUAUCAGUCUUUGGCUCAGAAGAUGAUUCUUAGCCUGACAGUAGCAGCCUUCUUUGACAGCGCAGCAUAUGUCAUGGGCGAGUCCCAUCCGGAAGGCUUUCUGUGCGCUUUUCAGGGGCUGUGGCUCACUUACUUUGACUGGUGUGCCCUGGCCUGGGUCUGCCUCAUCACAUUUAACCUCUACCUCAACCUGGUCAGAGAGAUCAGCACCAGCAGAUAUGAGACAUUGUACCAUGUGACCGCCUGGGGGCUGCCUCUCAUCAUGGCUGUCCUGCCCUUGCUGAAGGGCUGCUACGGUCCGGCGGGAGCCUGGUGCUGGAUCACAGACAAUCACGUAGCCUGGAGAUUUGGGAUAUGGUACGUUCCUCUGUUCACCCUCAUCGUCCUGAUGAUCUGCUGCUACGCCAGGAUCAUCUUCGUGGCCAAUCGAAGGGUGAAGAGAGGUAGAGAGAGAGACAGUAGGACAAACAGCUGGAGGGGUUGUGGCCGGAGUGUCACAGCCAAAGAGAAGAGAGCAGAGCGACAGAUCAGACACAGAGAUGGAGGGAGGAAGGAGAGGACGACCACACUGGAGGGAG